GAAGAGGAAGGGCGGAGAACCAUGGCCGCUCUGGUUGCUCUGUGCAGUGGUAUAGGGAGGAAGAAUUUGACAACCGCGGCUGGCUGCUUCACGGAUCGCGGAACUCAAGCAGGUAAAACGUCCGGCAUAGCAUUAUAGCCGCUGAUUGUCGGUGGGGUCCUCGCCGUUAGCAAAAUGACUAUUUCAAUAGAACUAGGUUUGAGAUAAGUGGGAGGCUCGAGUCAUCGUAGACUAGUUUCCUAGAGCUGAAGAGGACUUUGAGGUGUAGUCAACCACUUUACCCCGUUACUUAUUCACUUUACAAAAACCUAUCGCCCCGACUCCUCAAUAAGACUUUCUGGACACUUGUUGGCUGUGGUUCUCUUGCAUCUGUUUCCAUCCGCUGCUUGGACGAAGCCUCUCAGGAAACAGUUAUGCUAUCUAGGCUCCUGUCUCCAAGGUGUAGUCAACUCUUUUUUUGUUUGUUUGUUUUAUGCUUCUUUGUCAAUGUCUUGAAUCUUUUUAUUUCUCCUUUGGAAUGACAGUACCAUUCUGUUGUUUCUGUACAUAUUUGAAUUUCAAUCCGUAACUGUAGAAAUGAGAAAGAAUUUAUAGGAGAGGAAGUAUAUAUGUCCUUUAUCCAAAGCCUUUGGAACCGCUCAUUUUGAGUCCUAUUAUGUCCCAAAUCUAACAGGUUGCUAACUAAUCAUUGAAAAGAAUGUUUGAUAUUGUGCCCUUUGAUUAUCUAGCAUCUUUAAAAACGUAAAUCUUGGUUAGAUAUGCAGCGAAUGAAAACAAUUGUGUUGUCGCCAUUUUCUCUUUAGUUUCUGUGAUUUGGAGACGAUGUUUUUCACAGUUUGAACAGGUAACCAGCAAUGAGGACCUGGUAAGAUUUCGUUUUCUUUUUUUAAAGAAGACAUUAUUUUAUUAUUUGUAUGUAUGUGGGGGAGGGGAGUUGUGGAAGCCAGAAGAGGGCAUUGGAUUCUCCUGGAGCUGGAACGAGGUGGUCGUGAGCCACUGGGUGUGGGUGCUGGGAUUCAAACCCUGUACUUAGUAACAUUAGGGAGUACUUUUAACCACUGACACCUAUCCAGCCCCAGGUCCCCCUCCCCCCAUAUUACUAAUUCAUUUCCAAAUUCAGCCUAAUUUUUAAUAUUUGGAAUUCAAUUAUAGGACAAAAUAAUGGUUAUCUUUUAUUGACUAUAGUCACUUGUGUUUUGUAGAGAAUUCCUAGAUUCAGUCUGUAAUGUAUUCUUCUUCAUAGAUAUUAAAUAUAAGGAUACAUGAUUUGAGAAUAUCUAAAUAUAGCUUCGGUGGGUAGGAUAAUUGUAGGUAAUAGAAACCUGACAGGCUACCUUGAUAAAAGAUCCAAAUUCAAGUUUUACAGUAAGACAUUCAACUAGUUGCUUCUUAACUAUAGGUGUAUUUUUAUGGGUUUCAAGUGUGAACAGGGAUGUGGGAGCCUAAUCACAGCACACGAGAAUUUAGCUGGAGCUGAGAAGGAAUACAGCUUAUAUUCAAGGCAAGCUAGAUAUGGUGGUAUACACGUACUGUGACAGCACUUAGGAAGCUCUGAGGCAAGAGGAGCUUGUGAGUUGGAUACAUCCUGGACUACAACAAAACCAAUCACUGUUGUGUCUUUUGGCUAAAAUCAAGUGUAAAAACCCAAAAUCUUAAAAGAUUAUGUUAGAUACCAAAGCAGUUGUCUAAACACAUGCGACUCCACCUUAGUCAUCUAAUUCAUGCAUCAUACUUUAAAAUAAAGGAAAUUUACAUUUCCUUUUUUAGGUCAUGUGACUAAUGAAAAUUCUGUUUCUUUCCCACAGAAAAAUUCGGUCACCCAGUCAUACUCCUUUAUCACAAUUAAGGAAAACUAUAGAUAUCAAAGCCAUUUCUAAAUUAAGACCCUGUGCCAGAAUGCGUUGGUACAACAUGUAAUUAAAGCAUUUGGGAGGCCGGCGUAGAAGGAUGGGGAGUUUGAGAUCACCAUGUGCUACAUGGAGAGUUGUAGGACAGCGGAGCUACAUAGUGAGACCCUAUUUCAAGAAACACAAGAAAGAAACACACACAUACUCAUUCAAAAAAACAGAAAACAGGGACAUAGAAAAGGGAUUGUGGGGCUGGUGAGAUGGCUCAGUGGGUAAGCGUACCCGACUGCUCUUCCAAAGGUCCGGAGUUCAAAUCCCAGCAACCACAUGGUGGCUCACAACCAUUCGUAACGAGAUCUGACGCCCUCUUCUGGAGUGUCUGAAGACAGCUACAGUGUACUUACAUAUAAUAAAUAAAUAAAUCUUUAAAAAAAAAAAAGGGAUUGUGGU
rnacentral:lncRNA from 1 species